rnacentral:rRNA from 1 species
CGGGGUGCACCAGGCGCGAAACCUUUACAAUGCUGGCAACAGCGAUAGGGGGACCUCGAGUGCCAGGUUACAAAUCUGGCUGUCGUUGUGUCUAAAAAACACGAUAUAGCAAGGGCCGGGCAAGACCGGUGCCAGCCGCCGCGGUAACACCGGCGGCUCGAGUGGUAACCGUUAUUAUUGGGUUUAAAGGGUCUGUAGCCGGCCUGGUUAGUCCUUUGGGAAAUCCGGCAGCUCAACUGUCGGGCUUUCAGAGGAUACUGCCAGGCUCGAGACCGGGAGAGGUAAGAGGUACUUCAGGGGUAGGGGUGAAAUCUUGUAAUCCUUGAAGGACCACCAGUGGCGAAGGCGUCUUACCAGAACGGAUCUGACGGCAAGGGACGAAAGCUAGGGGCACGAACCGGAUUAGAUACCCGGGUAGUCCUAGCCGUAAAUGAUACUCGCUAGGUGUCGGCCACGGUGCGACCGUGGUCGGUGCCGUAGGGAAACCGUGAAGCGAGCCACCUGGGAAGUACGGCCGCAAGGCUGAAACUUAAAGGAAUCGGCGGGCGAGCA